rnacentral:rRNA from 1 species
UACGAAGGGGGCUAGCGUUGCUCGGAAUCACUGGGCUUAAAGGGCGCGUAGGCGGGUUCGCAAGUCUGUGGUGAAAGCCUCCAGCUUAACUGGAGAAGUGCCGUGGAUACUGCGAAUCUUGAGGAGGGUAGGGGCGUCUGGAACGGUCGGUGGAGCGGUGAAAUGCGUUGAUAUCGACCGGAACUCCGGUGGCGAAGGCGAGGCGCUGGACCCUUUCUGACGCUGAGGCGCGAAAGCCAGGGGAGCAAACGGG